rnacentral:tRNA from 1 species
AGAGAUUUAGGAUAACACCAGACCAAAAGCCUUCAAAGAUAGAAGUAGGAGUGAAAAUCUCCUAAUCUUUG